UCUCCACGUCGCUGUCUCUCUCUCCAGCAGCAAUUUCGUUCAGUUCCCUUGGACGAGCCGCUUCUGUUUUUCUUCUCCAUUUGUUGCUUCGAAGAUCGUCCGCAUCUCUUUCCUCACUCGAGCAGAUCCCUUCUCACUUGGUUUCUAUUUUUGCUUUCGUUUUUCCUUCGUCCGUGACGUCCCCAGCGAGGCCACCGAUUCUCCUCCACCGAUUCACCAGCCGAAGCCACUUGUCCAGCAGCUACCAAACUCCAGUCAAACUUGCGUUUCCCUCGGCUGGUCGGUUGACCGCACCAUCCCCAUCCACCGAAGUCAGACAUGCCAUCAUCAUUAUCAUCAACCCAUCUCCAUUGUAAUUCCCCUCACUGCUGCGAGCCCAUCUCCUCCAAGCCCAUACGAGCACUAGCCUUCCCACGUCUUCCUUUGGUCAAUCAAUCGAAGCAGCUCGAAGACCCAGCGAAGCUGCUGCCGCGCGUCUCCUAUUUAUCCGCCCAUCGUCCGCGAGCAACUUCAUCUUCGCUGCUCCAGCAUCACCGCCCAACUCCAUCAGCUCGCCACCUUGAUUUCAACCCGUUCAAAGCGGCCCAACCUUCAGCAGCAACGGCCCAGCGAGCUCUACUUCGUUUGAAGUCCACAGGCCCAACAUCUCCAUGAAUUUCGGGCCCCGCAAAGUCCAUUAGCGGCCCAUCAAUUGAGUCUUCAGCCCAGUCCAGAAAAGCCCAGCCGUGAGCUCUUCAGCCCGCAGGUCCAGCCCAACUUUGGCGAGCCCAAUUCAGAAAUCCCAAGCCCACACCAUUUGAAGCCCGCAAAGUCAGCCCACUGCAGGCCCAACCCAAAUUCAGUAACUAAUCUCAGCUUGGCUGAGAUUUGUUGGGCCAGUUUAAGGCCCGGUCCAAGCCCGUCGGUGUCGUCGUGAGCCCAAGUUCGGCCGCCGUUGCGCUGCCGUCGCGGUAAUCCGGUCUUCGCAUUAAACAAGUGAGUUGAACUCACUAAUACAUGCUUAGUCAGUUAAUUAUAUUUAGGGGUUGAUUAGUUUAGGCUAAGAUGGAUUAGGUGGUUAGAUUAGAUUAUAUUAUAUUAGUAAAUUUAAUUAUUUAUCGAUACAUGUUAGAUGGAUAGUUAGUGCAACUAGAGCCUAGACAAACUCUAGUAUUUAACUAAAGUGGUUCGAUAAUUUUCCGGACCCGUCUCGGCUUCCAAUUAGGCUUUUCCGAGCCUAAGUCUAUUUAUUGACAUUUAUUUAUUAAUUUCCGUAAUUAUUUAAUUAUUUAUUUAUUUUCCGGAAAUUCUACUGAGAUGGCCGGUGACCGGAAUUUCAUGCUGAUUGUAGUAGUGCUUUCUGUUUAUUUCAUUGAGCACUAAUUUAUGAAAAUUGAGUAAAAUUGGUGAUAAUAGAGAUUUAUCCCAAAAAUUAGAUAAUGCGGGUAUUUGUCUAGAAAAUUGCUCGGUGGAGCCGUGAUUACCACAAAAUCUAUAAAAUUUGCCAAGUGGGGCCAUGAUACCACUAAGUCUAAAUUUGCUGGGUGGAGCCGUGAUACCACUAAGUUUAAAUUUGCCGAGUGGGGCCGUGAUGCCACUAAGUCUAAAAUUGCCGAGUGGGGCCGUGAUUCCACUAAAUCUAAAUUAUGUCUGUUGGGCCAUAACUAAGAGUUGAGAAUGAAUAAUCGAAAUGACCGUGUGAUGGUCUUGAUGACAUGUAAUCAACCGAGUCGAUUAAUCGAUGGUUCGAUCUGUUUGAUUGGAUGAUGUGAUUGUCAGUAUUUAUGAUUUGAAUUGACUUGCAGGAAGGAACUGAGACCAAGGUAAGCCCUCUGACUUGUGGUUGUGCUUAGGCAGCCCAUAUGGCAUAUUAUCUUCCUAAUCGGGUCUUAGGGGAGUUGAACUUGCUAAGACGUAGUCUCACCCUGUUGUGGGAUCACAUUUUCAAGUCCCUAGGUGACGGCCGUGGAGAGCCGGGAGUCCCGAAGUUUGGGAAGGUGGAAGAAGCAUAAUCGGCGAACCUGUAUAACUAGUUAGUCAUAGGACAGUUCCUUUUUGAUAAGCCGACACUUUUUGUAACCAAUCUGAUCUUGUGUAUA
rnacentral:lncRNA from 1 species